rnacentral:rRNA from 1 species
GUAGGGAAUAUUGGACAAUGGGUGAGAGCCUGAUCCAGCCAUGCCGCGUGCAGGAAGAAAGCCUUCUGGGUUGUAAACUGCUUUUGCCAGGGGAUAAAAACACUAUGCGUAGUGGAUUGAAGGUACCUGGUGAAUAAGCCACGGCUAACUACGUGCCAGCAGCCGCGGUAAUACGUAGGUGGCAAGCGUUGUCCGGAUUUAUUGGGUUUAAAGGGUGCGUAGGCGGUUCCAUAAGUCAGUGGUGAAAUACGGCAGCUCAACUGUCGAGGUGCCAUUGAUACUGCGGAACUUGAGUACUGAUGAGGUAGGCGGAAUGGACGGUGUAGCGGUGAAAUGCUUAGAGAUCGUCCAGAACACCGAUAGCGAAGGCAGCUUACUAAGGAGUAACUGACGCUGAGGCACGAAAGUGUGGGGAUCAAACAGGAUUAGAUACCCUUGUAGUCC